rnacentral:piRNA from 1 species
CGACAUUUCUUUUGUUAUGGGCCACCGCUC